GGCGAUAUGGCCGAGCGGUCUAAGGCGCUAGAAUCAGGUUGGAACCGUACAACGGUCACUUGCAUCUAGUCCGAAAGGGCGUGGGUUCAAAUCCCACUGUCGUCA